rnacentral:lncRNA from 1 species
UCCCACCUACCAUGAACCCUACUUCUCCUUUCCACCAAUUUUCCAUGGAUGCCACCUCUUCUAUUCCACAACCGGUUGGGACCACCAACAACACAACCCACGCUACUACGACAACUACAACUAUUCUUUCCCCUUCUUUUUCUCCUAUACGGCCACCAAAAAUCCAACUAUCCUUCACUGACCCUUUAGAUUGGUUAUUCCAAGCUGACCAAUUUUUUCAAUUUUAUAAUAUUCCUUGGGAUACUCGUUUGAUUAUGGUAGCCUUCUACAUGAGAGGUGAUGCACUCAAUUGGUUUAAAUGAAUGUACCAAAAUCAUCAACUUACUAACUGGAUUUCUUUUAGUCACGCCCCAGAACUCCGUUUUAGGCCUUCCACAUAUGAAAAUCAUCAGGCUGAGUUGUUUAAGCUGCGCCAAACCUCCACAGUUGCGGAAUAUCAAAAGCGGUUUGAGAAAAUUUGCAACAGAGUGAUGGGUUUACAACCCAAGAUGAUCCUUUAUUGUUUCUUAUCUAGCCUAAUCCCAAAAAUUCGAAGAGAAAUAGCAGUUUUGCAACCCACUUCCAUCACCCAGGCCAUGGGCCUAGCCAAGCUUUUAGAAUCUAAAAUCCAAGAUUCUAAAUGAUCUUUUCGUUUUUCCGAUACCUUACCCCCAACCAUCCAAUCAUUUAUUACCCUCACCUCGUCCCUCUCCCUCUCCCGCUACAACAUCCCAUGCAACCCCUUCCAUACCUAUCAAAAAACUCACCUCAACCCAACUCCAAGUGUGUAGAGCCGCUGGUUUGUGUUAUAACUGUGAUGAAUUUUUUUUUCCAGGGCAUAAGUGCACCACCCAUCGUUUUCUUCUUUUACUAAGUGACGAUUGUCCUGAAGAAAACAUUAUGGAAGACUAUCCUACCACAUUCAACGACCAACCCACAGACACACCUACACACAUUCACCUCUUCUUCCAAGCCUUGUGUGGAGCUCCCUCAACCCACACUUUUACCUUUGAUGGCUACAUUGGCCAUAUUCCUGUUACCAUUCUCAUAGAUACAGGAAGUUCCAUAACAUUAUUCAACCUCGUUUGGCCCUUCACCUCCAACUUUGCACUGUUCCUAUCACCCAUUUCUCAGUUAUGGUUGGAAAUGGCAACAAAAUUCAGUGUUCCUCUUUUUGCCCUAAUGCUCCCAUUUCUAUACAUACCUACACCUUUUCCAUUUUUUUUUACCUCUUACCUAUCGAAGGAGCUGAUGUUGUCUUAGGAAUGGACUGGUUGCAUUCUUUGGGCCCCUUAAUGGCUGAUUUUUCUAAGCUGCAACUAUCUUUUACCCACAAUGGGUUACCCAUUACACUACACGAUACCACAAAUCUGCUACACAGUCAAGCUUCCUUCACUCAUCUUUGCCAUAUGUUACACAUAGAUGUCAUUUAUUCUCUACAUCUCCUCACUAUUGACCCACUGCCAUCACCAUCCAGCCCUCACAGAUAAUCCAAACCCUCAGCUAUAUCCCAUCUUUUACAAACAUAUAGUUCAGUUUUCUCUUCUCCCCAUGGACUACCUCCGCACAGACCCCACAAUCACCACAUCCCCCUUAUUCCACACUCUCCCCUAGUUAACAUUCAACCCUACCGCUACCCACAUGCUCACAAGCACACCAUGACCUCCCUCAUUCUCGAAAUGCUCAACGAAGGCAUUAUCCGCCCCAGCACAAGCCCCUUUUCUUCCCCAGUUAUCCUCAUAAAAAAGAAAGAUGGCACCUGGCGUUUUUGUGCAAAUUAUAAAGGCCUAAACGCCACUACUGUUAAAGACCGUUUUUCUAUUCCAACUAUUGAUGAAUUGUUGGAUGAAGUGACCACUGCCAAGGUUUUCACCAAACUUGACUUACGUUCAGGUUACCACCAGAUUCGAGUUAAUCCUACAAAUUGCCACAAAACUGCUUUUAGAACCUUUGAUUGCCAUUACGAGUUCUUAAUUAUGCCUUUCGGCCUUGCUAAUGCACCAUCUACCUUUCAGGCAGCCAUGAAUGAUUUACUCAAGCCCCAUCUACAACACUUUGUCCUAGUUUUUUUUUAUGACAUUCUCAUUUACAGCAAAUCCGUGAAAGAACACAUUCACCACCUCACUUUGAUCCUUCAAUUAUUAGACACUCAUAAAUUCUUUGUUAAUGAAUCAAAAUGUGUGUUUGCCACAACCAGAGUCUCAUACCUAGGCCAUCUUUUGGAAGAAGGCACAGUGGCUCCAGAUCCGGAUAAAAUCAAGGCUAUCAUACUUUGGCCUAAACCUACAUCCCUUACUACUCUACAUGCGUUUCUGGGUAUUACGGGAUUUUAUCGGAAGUUCAUUCGCGAUUAUGCCACUCUUGCCUCGCCACUCACGGAGUUACUCAAAUCAUCAAUGUUUACAUGGAAUACAAAUGCAGAGGAAGCCUUUACAAAAUUGAAAAAUAUCCUAACUACAGCUCCGGUGUUGAGUCUUCAGAAUUUUGCCAUACCGUUCGUGGUAGAAACCGACGCCUCCAGCAUAGCAAUUGGAGUUGUGUUAUCCCAAGAAGGUCACCCCAUUGCUUUCUUCGGCAAGAAACUUUGCCCAAAAAUGCAAGCUAGCUCGACAUAUGUCAAGGAAAUGCUAGCUAUAACAAAAGCUGUCAAAAAGUGGCGUCAUUAUCUCAUAGGUACACAUUUCACAGUAAUAACAGACCAACAAAGCUUAAAGGGGUUACUCACCAAUGCAUGCCACACACAGAACAACAAAAGGGGGCUACCAAGCUGCUUGGAUACAGUUUUGACAUCCAAUACCGCCCAAAGCCGCCAAUAUCAAGUUGUUGAUUUCUUGUCCUGGCCACCCCAAUCCCUCCUUUUGGCCAUAUCUUCUCCGAUUUCGAACAUGUUCAAGGAAUUACAAGAUUAUUACAAGACAAAAAGGGGAGAAGAAGAGGUUCACAGAUUAAUUUCAUUACCUGACACCAAUUACAGUUUUCACCACGACCUUCUAUACCAUGCUCAAAGAUUAUACGUUCCUUCCAUAUAGCACAUUCGUUCGGCCAUACUCCACAAGUUCCAUGCUUCUCCCACAGCCGGCCACUCGGGCAUUAAGGCCACCAUGGCCAGGCUCGCAACCUCCUUUUUCUGGCCUUGUAUGUACCGCGACACCAAAAGGUAUAUCAAGGAAUGCCUACCCCGCCAACAAAACAAAUCAUUACAUCAUAAACCUUUUGAACUACUCCAAUCCAUACCCAUACCAACCAAACUGUGGGAAGAACUAACUACAUAUUUCAUCACGCACCUACCUUCAUCUUUUGGGCACACGAUCAUCUGGGUUGUUUGUGAUAGGCUCUCCAAAUCAGCCCACUUCAUCGCCCUUCCCACGUCCUUCACAACCACCCAUUUAGCUAACCGUUUUUCUAUUGAAAUUUGCAUGUUACAUGGAGUCCCUAAAUCCAUCAUUUCAGACCGUGAUCCAGUGUUCCAGAGCCAUUUUUGGAAGGAGUUGUUUCAUCUGCAAGGCACAAAAUUAAAGUUCAAUACGACGUAUCAUCCCCAAAUCGACGGUCAAACCGAAGUUAUAAAUCGCUGUUUAGAAGCUUACCUUAGGUGUUUUACCAGCGAAAACCCCUAAACAUGGUAUCGCUAUCUCCACCUUACGGAGUUUUGGUACAACUCCUCAUACCACUCGGCCAUCAAAAUUACACCCUUCCAGGCUCUGUAUAGAAGAUCGCCUCCUUCCCUUCUAGAUUACGUUCCAGGAAUUGUCGCAGAACCAACACUGGACACCACACUACAGGACCGUGCGUGAAUGUUGCACCAGUUAAAAGCCACACUGAAAGCAACACAACAAAGAAUGGCGGAAUCAACAAACAAAUAAAGACGUGAUUACCAUUUUUCAGAAAACGACUGGGUACUGCUCUGACGACAAGCUUAC